GCAGUGAUUCCGGUCUACCAAAAAAGCAGGUCAGAGACUUAAGACAGAAAUAGAAACAAUCCCAGAACUGACAGACCUUCUGGAUCCUCCUCAAGAAGCUCACAUAUGCCUUCAAACAAAAAUGUCACCCAGUGAGCUCUGCCACGCUCAAGGGCUUUCUGCAGUAACCUGGCUGAACAGUUUUCCUUCGUUAAUUUGAGGAAAGUUUUGGGCCAAAUUAUUGAGGUCAGUAACAAAGGAAUGUUCUGGAAAGAAGAUUGUGAAAGGGUAUGGAGUCAUCUAAUUCUCUAUGUUCACAUCCUCAACCUUGUAAAAUCCAAUCAAGAUUAUUAA
rnacentral:lncRNA from 1 species